UGCUCCGGCACCGAAUGUAGCACAACUUGCUCGGUUACACUGUAGACGGGUGAGGGGUGCUAUAUUAGGAUUCUUAACUAAAUUGAGAUUCUUAAAUUCCUAUAUAGAGUUGGAUCCUUAAUUCGUGAUAGGAUUAUACAAGCAUUAUAUAUAGACAUAGUUGCUCUCAUUAUUUUUCAAGUUUUAUUAUGACAAUUUUAUAUGAUCAAUACUAUUUUGGAGGAUUAGUUCUUUUUUUAAGGAUUUGUCAUUGAUUUCUCCUUUUUGUUGUUGAUUCUUUCUCUUUGUUCUACAUCACCCAACCAUUUUGAAAGAGCAAUCACAUAACUAUCAU
rnacentral:misc_RNA from 1 species